GAUAAAGACAGGUCGUGGAUAAAAAAUACAGAGUGUGGUCAGUCAGACUCCGAUUCCCACAUGGAUACAAUGUGUGACGCCCACCGUCACAUUGCUGGAAUAUUGCUGAAAGCAGCAUAAAACAACGCCCAUUCGCUCAUUAGAUCCAGAAACGACAAGACCUGGUUCUGCGCUGAUUGUGGUCUUAUUGUGUAUCAUUCUGCCCAUAGUCAACUGUUGUUCCCAAAGAAUUCAUGAACGCACCAACGUCGGGUCCAGUUCAGGAACGUUCAGCACAUUGG